rnacentral:rRNA from 1 species
AGUCGAACGGAAAGGCCCUGCUUGCAGGGUACUCGAGUGGCGAACGGGUGAGUAACACGUGGGUGAUCUGCCCUGCACUUCGGGAUAAGCUUGGGAAACUGGGUCUAAUACCGGAUAGGAGCCAUCUUUAGUGUGGUGGUUGGAAAGUUUUUUCGGUGUAGGAUGAGCUCGCGGCCUAUCAGCUUGUUGGUGGGGUAAUGGCCUACCAAGGCGGCGACGGGCAGCCGGCCUGAGAGGGUGUACGGCCACAUUGGGACUGAGAUACGGCCCAGACUCCUACGGGAGGCAGCAGUGGGGAAUAUUGCACAAUGGGCGCAAGCCUGAUGCAGCGACGCCGCGUGGGGGAUGAAGGCCUUCGGGUUGUAAACUCCUUUCGCUAGGGACGAAGCUUUGUGUGACGGUACCUAGAUAAGAAGCACCGGCUAACUACGUGCCAGCAGCCGCGGUAAUACGUAGGGUGCGAGCGUUGUCCGGAAUUACUGGGCGUAAAGAGCUCGUAGGUGGUUUGUCGCGUCGUCUGUGAAAUUCUGGGGCUUAACUCCGGGCGUGCAGGCGAUACGGGCAUAACUUGAGUGCUGUAGGGGUAACUGGAAUUCCUGGUGUAGCGGUGAAAUGCGCAGAUAUCAGGAGGACACCGAUGGCGAAGGCAGGUUACUGGGCAGUUACUGACGCUGAGGAGC